rnacentral:rRNA from 1 species
GACGAACGCUGGCGGCGUGCCUAAUACAUGCAAGUAGAACGCUGAAGGAGGAGCUUGCUCUUCUGGAUGAGUUGCGAACGGGUGAGUAACGCGUAGGUAACCUGCCUGGUAGCGGGGGAUAACUAUUGGAAACGAUAGCUAAUACCGCAUAACAGUAGAUGUUGCAUGACAUUUACUUAAAAGGUGCAAUUGCAUCACUACCAGAUGGACCUGCGUUGUAUUAGCUAGUUGGUGGGGUAACGGCUCACCAAGGCGACGAGACAUAGCCGACCUGAGAGGGUGAUCGGCCACACUGGGACUGAGACACGGCCCAGACUGCUACGGGAGGCAGCAGUAGGGAAUCUGCGGCAAUGGACGGAAGUCUGACCGAGCAACGCCGAGUGAGUGAAGAAGGUUUUCGGAUCGUAAAGCUCUGUUGUAAGAGAAGAACGAGUGUGAGAGUGGAAAGUUCACACUGUGACGGUAUCUGACCAGAAAGAGACGGCUAACUACGUG